AACCUCGUUAGGUGAGGCUCCUGUACGGAGAUAAGCUGCUGCCCAAAAAUGUCCAAAGACGCCAAUGGGUCAACAGGAACUAUCGAGUUAAGGUGGUUUCUAACGUAGCUGGAUAUAAUCCUAUGCCGUACAGUGCUAAAACUCAACGACUAGGG
rnacentral:sRNA from 1 species